GGGAUGUGUUCAGAGCAGGGGGCCUGAAGAAAUGACUUUUCUGUUUACAGCACACCCAGGGGGAAUCUGGGUUCACUGUGACAAGGGGCACAAAACUUGCGGACUUCCUGUGAACAAAUACCCAGCAGGU
rnacentral:snoRNA from 1 species